GAUGAACGCUGGCGGCGUGCCUAAUACAUGCAAGUCGAGCGAACGGACGAGAAGCUUGCUUCUCUGAUGUUAGCGGCGGACGGGUGAGUAACACGUGGAUAACCUACCUAUAAGACUGGGAUAACUUCGGGAAACCGGAGCUAAUACCGGAUAAUAUUUUGAACCGCAUGGUUCAAAAGUGAAAGACGGUCUUGCUGUCACUUAUAGAUGGAUCCGCGCUGCAUUAGCUAGUUGGUAAGGUAACGGCUUACCAAGGCAACGAUGCAUAGCCGACCUGAGAGGGUGAUCGGCCACACUGGAACUGGGACACGGUCCAGACUCCUACGGGAGGCAGCAGUAGGGAAUCUGCCGCAAUGGGCGAAAGCCUGACGGAGCAACGCCGCGUGAGUGAUGAAGGUCUUCGGAUCGUAAAACUCUGUUAUUAGGGAAGAACAUAUGUGUAAGUAACUGUGCACAGCUUGACGGUACCUAAUCAGAAAGCCACGGCUAACUACGUG
rnacentral:rRNA from 1 species